UACGUAGGGUGCGAGCGUUGUCCGGAAUUAUUGGGCGUAAAGAGCUCGUAGGCGGUGUGUCACGUCGGCCGUGAAAACCUGCAGCUUAACUGUGGGCGUGCGGUCGAUACGGGCAUCACUGGAGUUCGGCAGGGGAGACUGGAAUUCCUGGUGUAGCGGUGAAAUGCGCAGAUAUCAGGAGGAACACCGGUGGCGAAGGCGGGUCUCUGGGCCGAGACUGACGCUGAGGCGCGAAAGCGUGGGGAGCAAACAGG
rnacentral:rRNA from 1 species